CGGUCCUACGGGGGGCAACAGUGGGGGAUAUUGGACAAUGGGGGAAACCCUGAUCCAGCGAUGCCGCGUGAGGGAAGAAGGUUUUCGGAUUGUAAACCUCUGUGGAGGGGGACGAUAAUGACGGUACCCCUUUAGGAAGCCACGGCUAACUACGUGCCAGCAGCCGCGGUAAUACGUAGGUGGCGAGCGUUGUCCGGAAUUACUGGGUGUAAGGGGAGUGUAGGCGGUAAA
rnacentral:rRNA from 1 species